rnacentral:rRNA from 1 species
GUAGGCGGUCUUUCAAGUCAGGAGUGAAAGGCUACGGCUCAACCGUAGUAAGCUCUUGAAACUGGGAGACUUGAGUGCAGGAGAGGAGAGUGGAAUUCCUAGGGUAGCGGUGAAAUGCGUAGAUAUUAGGAGGAACACCAGUUGCGAAGGCGGCUCUCUGGACUGGAACUGACGCUGAGGCACGAAAGCGUGGGGAGCAAACAGGAUUAGAUACCCUGGUAGUCCACGCUGUAAA